rnacentral:rRNA from 1 species
GAAACCAACUGGGAUUGCCUUAGUAACGGCGAGUGAAGCGGCAAAAGCUCAAAUUUGAAAUCUGGUACCUUUGGUGCCCGAGUUGUAAUUUGGAGAGUACCACUUUGGGACUGUACUUUGCCUAUGUUCCUUGGAACAGGACGUCAUGGAGGGUGAGAAUCCCGUGUGGCGAGGGUGUCAGUUCUUUGUAAAGGGUGCUCGAAGAGUCGAGUUGUUUGGGAAUGCAGCUCUAAGUGGGUGGUAAAUUCCAUCUAAAGCUAAAUACAGGCGAGAGACCGAUAGCGAACAAGUACAGUGAUGGAAAGAUGAAAAGAACUUUGAAAAGAGAGUGAAAAAGUACGUGAAAUUGUUGAAAGGGAAGGGCAUUUGAUCAGACAUGGUGUUUUGCGCCCCUUGCCUCUCGUGGGCUUGGGACUCUCGCAGCUCACUGGGCCAGCAUCGGUUUUGGCGGCCGGAAAAAACCUAGGGAAUGUGGCUCUGCGCCUCGGUGUAGAGUGUUAUAGCCCU